rnacentral:pre_miRNA from 1 species
GUUUUACUCCCUCCGGUCAGAAUUACUUGUCGCAGAAAUGAAUGUAUCUAGACGUAUUUUAGUUCUAGAUAUAUUUAUUUCCGAAACAAGUAAUUCCGAACGAAGAGAGUAUUUG